UAGGGAAUCUUCGGCAAUGGGGGGAACCCUGACCGAGCAACGCCGCGUGAGUGAAGAAGGUUUUCGGAUCGUAAAGCUCUGUUGUUAAGGAAGAACGAGUGUGAGAAUGGAAAGUUCAUGCUGUGACGGUACUUAACCAGAAAGGGACGGCUAACUACGUGCCAGCAGCCGCGGUAAUACGUAGGUCCCGAGCGUUGUCCGGAUUUAUUGGGCGUAAAGCGAGCGCAGGCGGUUAGAUAAGUCUGAAGUUAAAGGCAGUGGCUCAACCAUUGUAGGCUUUGGAAACUGUGUAACUUGAGUGCAGAAGGGGAGAGUGGAAUUCCAUGUGUAGCGGUGAAAUGCGUAGAUAUAUGGAGGAACACCGGUGGCGAAAGCGGCUCUCUGGACUGUAACUGACGCUGAGGCUCGAAAGCGUGGGGAGCGAACAGG
rnacentral:rRNA from 1 species